rnacentral:rRNA from 1 species
GACGAACGCUGGCGGCGUGCUUAACACAUGCAAGUCGAACGGAAAGGCCCUGCUUUUGUGGGGUGCUCGAGUGGCGAACGGGUGAGUAACACGUGAGUAACCUGCCCUUGACUUUGGGAUAACUUCAGGAAACUGGGGCUAAUACCGGAUAGGAGCUCCUGCUGCAUGGUGGGGGUUGGAAAGUUUCGGCGGUUGGGGAUGGACUCGCGGCUUAUCAGCUUGUUGGUGGGGUAGUGGCUUACCAAGGCUUUGACGGGUAGCCGGCCUGGGAGGGUGACCGGCCACAUUGGGACUGAGAUACGGCCCAGACUCCUACGGGAGGCAGCAGUGGGAAAUAUUGCACAAUGGGCGGAAGCCUGAUGAAGCAACGCCGCGUGCGGGAUGACGGCCUUCGGGUUGUAAACCGCUUUCGCCUGUGACGAAGCGUGAGUGACGGUAAUGGGUAAAGAAGCACCGGCUAACUACGUG